CUACCUCUUCCUCCUCCUCUUAAGAAUUCAGAUGGCUAUCAGGCUAAGCUGGAGGAGGACCUGGCUGCAGUGGGUCUGUUUCUAGAGCCAAACUCUUGAGGGGAGGCAUGACAAAAGUGCUCAGGGGAGACAUGCCUUUUUUAGUAUGCCUACCUCUCUGCUCUGGUGGAGCACCAGGCACACAAUUCUUUCUGCUGGACUGCUGACAAAAUCAGGUGCCACUCUCUA